AGUCCGGGAAGGACCCACUUCCCCGGCUCCAAGUCGGGAGCGGGCGCCGCGUCUUCUCGAGUCCGCGCCGCGCCGGGGGAGGUUGAGUCAGUGGCCUGGAGGGAGCAGGGCCGGGGGAAGGCAGCGGCGAAGGACUGCCCCCCAACCCAGGGGACUAUUUUCCCUUGGGGAUUCAAAGAGAAAGACAGGAAUUGAAACUUUGCAGCUGACAUUUGGAAGCUUCCAUUUGCUCUUGUUAUAAAAAUGCUGGAGUUCAGAGAGAGAUAACUCUACCUUCCUGUCAUGAGAAAGUUUCUUUGGGAAACAAGACUCAACUCUCCCAACUCAGACUCGUUAUCUCCAUCAUGGUGGAGGGACCUUGAUGGGUUUGGGACAGCCACCAUAGAGAGGAGGAAUUGGAUUCUGACCUUCAUCUCCCUUCAUCACCUCACAGCUCAACCCUGAGCACAACAGGAUACACCCUUGUUGUCUAAGACUUGAACUGUCUUUUUGGGACCUUUCUUGGGCAGAUGGAGGAAGCUUUAAUACUUAUUGGUCCCAG
ensembl:lncRNA novel transcript